CCCUUAGAUGUUCUGGGCUGCACGCGUGCUACACUGAUAUUGCCAAUAUGUCAUUCUUAUCCGAAAUGGAUUGGGUAAUCAAGUAAUGAAAUUUCAUGCUUGGAAUCGGUAAUUGCAAUUUUAUCGUGAACGAGGAAUUCCUAGUAAGCACUAGUCAUCAGCUAAUGUUGAUUAUGUCCCUGCCCUUUGUACACACCGCCCGUCGCUACUACUGAUUGGGUGUUCAAGUGAGAUGCUUAGACCCUUGUUGCAUGGUUCAUUAUUGUGCUCCGAAAGGAAAAAGUUUCAAGCUUGAGUGUCUAGAGGAAGUAAAAGUCGUGACA
rnacentral:rRNA from 1 species